UAAAACUCACCUACGACUGUGAUGGAGCCGCUGCUGGUCGCCUGGUCAAGCUCGGUGAUGACCUCACAGGAAUACUCUGCGUUGUCUUUUGAUUGGAUGUCAGUCACUUUGAGUGUACCGUUGGCAAAUAUAGUGUACCUAUACACACACACACAGAAACACAACCGCUUAUAACUGACUUAUUCCAAUUUGCUUAUAACAUUUGUGUUAUAAAAUCAUGUCUUGAAAUAAACACACAGUGAUUGUUUCAGCUUUGAAGAAUAACAAUAGUAUCAGUAGCUUAUUACAAGCUACUGUCAUAUAUUAUAGAUAUACUUAAAAGAUGAACAAUUAAUGAAAUAAUUCAUACAUCAGCCUUGCUACAGCUGGUAUUAGAUGUGUGAACGCUAAUUAAACAUUUGUAAAAAAAGUUACAUUUAUUUAAAAUGUGGUUAAAAAUGCACUUGGAAUCAGUUAAUCCGGGAUCGAUUAUCUACGUCUGCAAAGGCCGAGCUCUUGGCCGCAGCCCUCCAUUCAGGAUGAGGCUACCGGAGGGAGUCAUUGUGCCCGGCUAUCUUUAUUCAUAUCGUUCCACCUUUUCAGACAAUCUGGUACCGGAGCAGUCUGGGGUCCUUAAAAAAGUGACAGUCCAGAAGGACACUUCCGCCUCGGAGUGCUCGCACGUCCUGAGGGCCUGUCAAAAUCACCGUCCCAUCUAAAAGGCGAGAAGAAAGGUAAGUAGUUCUGCAGGUAAGAAAGCCCUUCUCUGUGUUGUUAUCGUAUGUGUGACACUCACUGAAGACUUCCAGGUGAGCGGUGAUGGAGAUGUUGGUGUUUUUAAUAAAGCAGAUGUACGUUCCACUGUCGCUGUAACUGACGUCCGAUACUUCGAUUGUUCCGUCAGUCAGCAGGGAGACACGAGGGUCUGACAGCAGGGGGCCCGGGUCCUCGCCCACCCUGCACGAGACACAAAAAAAUAUGGAACUAAAGAAGGAAACAAGAUGAGACUAGUGGGAUACAAGGUCAGGUAGAGAGCUGAUAGGCUGUCACAAGAGGGAGGCGGGACAAUGACAAAUACAGCAAUAUAAGCACUUUAACUUCACUUUUUUAUGAUUAAUUCACCAAAUUGCCUUUUCAAAAGCUUUAACGUACUUUAUAAGUGACAAAUUUUGCAGGCGCUGGUGAAAUUAAUUAGAUUUUUGCGCAGAUACAACAUCUAACAGGACGUACUUUAGGGUGUGGCCACCAUUGCUAAACUGCUUAGAGUCAAGCAGCCACCUGAGGGCGCUGUUGCGUGUGUGUGUCAUUUUAGCGGUCACACUCACCAUUCGACGUGAGGCAGUGGAGAGCCGAAGGUUUCACAGAACAUCUUGAUGGUCCCGCCCUCGGUCACUUUGUACACGACUCCGUCUGAGGACAGGAUCUGAGGGGGGAGCUCUGAAGGACACACACACCACUAAAGUGAUCAGCAAUGAAGACAGGCGAGGACAAGCAUGCUGGGAAGUCAGACAUCAUUUCAUCUCUUCAUAGCGGAUCCCGAAUCCGAUCCGGAAGUAGAGACUGGACAGUCCAAAGUUUCUCAAGAAAAGAGGUUACAUCAAGACGUCUCUCAAUCGACUACCAAGAAACUCGGAAGGACGACGUACCAACUUUGAACCUGGAGAGAUGUUCUUCAUCUUAUCUACCUAUCUGUUCCGAGAGGACAAAGACGUCAUUGAUGACAUCAUGGACUAGAAUGGAGACUCCAGUAGAGGAGCAGCGAAAAGUGUCUCCAAGUGGAGCCCCUCCCUGACCGCAGAUCACAUCCUUCAGAUGUCCAUCAGAUCUCAUUUCUCCCUCAUGCUCCCUCAUCCUCCCUCAUCCUCCACAGCAUCUCCCAGCCCCUCGUCCUCAUCAUGGAGAGAGGUAAGCGGUUAAAAGAAUAUUCAACGAUUGUCCAAACGUAUCACAAAAAAUGUCAGCGAGUGAGACUGCCAGGAGCUUGGAUCCAUUUACAUCUUUCCUCUAUCGCUAUGGUAACCAGCGACUCCAGCAGCAGCAGCACCAGCACCAGCAAUAUUUACUAGCCCAUCCCCCACAUUGCCCCUCCUUCUUUGCUCCCAUCCCCCGCUCUGUCCCGCCACACUCUUUCUCAGCGGCCACGCCCUGCAUCUAUCGCACACACACACACACACACACACACAGUCUCCUUUCAUGGUAAGAAUUGUUUAAAGCUAAUUUGUGUAAUUGUAGCAGGUGAUACUGCUCAUAUAUUUUGACAAGCAAUACUGGAAUGGAAUCUUCUCCACCAAAGCCUGCCUGACAACAAAAAUAAAUGUGUGUUUGUUUGUGGACGACUUUGGUUCUGAUUGGCCAGAUGCUGCCAACAACUGUUGUGCUGAAAGCAAAUGUGGGCGUCAAAUACAUACAAAUACAUACUGUAAAUACUGGAAGUCUAUGCUAUUUACUGUGGUGUGAAAAACUGUUUUUUUUGUCACUUAAAUGUUUCAGAUCAUCAAACUAAUUUAAAUAUUAGUCAAAGACAACACAA